GAGUUUUGAUCCUGGCUCAGGAUGAACGCUAGCUACAGGCUUAACACAUGCAAGUCGAGGGGAAACGACAUCGAAAGCUUGCUUUUGAUGGUCGUCGACCGGCGCACGGGUGAGUAACGCGUAUCCAACCUGCCCAUCACUUGGGGAUAACCUUGCGAAAGUAAGACUAAUACCCAAUGAUAUCUCUAGAAGACAUCUGAAAGAGAUUAAAGAUUUAUCGGUGAUGGAUGGGGAUGCGUCUGAUUAGCUUGUUGGCGGGGUAACGGCCCACCAAGGCAACGAUCAGUAGGGGUUCUGAGAGGAACGGUCCCCCACAUUGGAACUGAGACACGGUCCAAACUCCUACGGGAGGCAGAA
rnacentral:rRNA from 1 species